CUUAGUAGAGGAGGAAGGGUCCUUGCGUUGUCUUGGUUUUAGGAGGUUGCGCCGCAUCGACCCGCUAUCUCUCGAACGGCUGCCACCGCCGCCCGAUCUAGGCCACGGAUCGACCUACUAACGCGGGUCACCUCCAGGUCUAGGUCGUGGGGUGGCAGAACAGCGGCCGCAGGAGCGACGGGGCCGUCUAGAGGAGACACGCCUGUUUAUGAGAUCAGGCAGCAGGACGGGGCCGCCUGGUAGAGUUUCCAUGAGAAGAGGCUGCAGGUCACGUUUUGGAGCGCGUAAGAAGUGUGUCGCGAGCGUGGGGGCGCAGAUCGAGGCGGUAUACACUUGCAACCUCUUCUUUAGAGGCCAGAAGUCCAGCUUCGAGCAGCUGAUCAUGAUUCAAACAAAAGGCGAUAAAACGACGACGUAGAACUUGACUUUACCUCCCUUCAUCACUCUGUAGCGGCAAUCCGCUCGGGUAUCAAGGUCAUUAACGUUUUAAACAUGGUUGUGAUAGUCCACUGUUCUGUAUCAGGUUUUUCUACGUACGACGAGACUGUUCGCCUUUGUAGUCCUGAUGUCUACCUAUCUUCUUCGAAAAUAGUUUCAGGGGGGAAAGACUGUUAACUCUCUUAAAGAGACGUUGAACUGAAAUUGAGACAACAACUAGUCCGUAGACAUGCACAGACACGACUUGACUUAGCACAAACGAACCACACUAGAGAGGGUUUUGUUCUUCGAACUACUUGUUCCUCAUCAUCUUGUCCUCCCGGUAGUUCUAUGAUCUCGAAUAUUAAAAUUUAUUGUUACGAACAAUUUACCACUAGUCUAAUCAGGAAUUACGUACAACGACCGGUACAUGGUUUUUACCACGAUGGUACAGAGUAGUUCUAUAAAUACGAACACUAUACGAGUUAGACCCGCUCAGGUCAGACUACAAAUCAAUAUGAAGUUUCCCACCGAAUUAAAAUAGAUACAUGAGUGUAUAAACACUAUCUAUAACUGUAUGAAACGUCACUGUCAGUAUG
rnacentral:rRNA from 1 species